CUUAGUGUCCAAUAGGAUUUUUGUUGCGUUUGCUUUAUAUCUGAAAUUCUGCAUUUUAAUUCAGCUACACAAAUAAUGCAUCUUUUCAACAAAACUCAGAUACAAAUAAUGUUCUAAUAUUGUUAUUUAUUUCCAUAUAGCAUUAAUCUCUAGUAAGUCUAACUUCGCAAUCUCUUUUCUCACUUUUCAAUACACCUCUAGCUUCCAAUUGUUUUGCCUAGAGACUUUAAGGCCUAUGACUGCCAGAAUGAAAGAUUGUUACCUCUUUUCCCUUGCUUAUUAAGGUAGGAGGCCAUGAUGACGCACUUUUCUCAAUCUCUUGGCUUUAAAUGGAUCUUACCUUGGGAGAGUUACAGUGAAGGCAUGGCCAGAGGGUGUGAUGGCUCCUACCUGACUGAUAUAAUUGAAAUCAAAGACUUGCCAAGUUAUACCAGCAACUCCAGCAAAACUGUGAACUUACUGGCCUUGGAGGACUAUGGAUUGAAACACACAAAACAUCUUUGGCUGUGCAUGCCCUUCACACUGGCUGCCUAGUCCCCUCACAGAAGAUUGUACCAUGUGGUAGUUGGUGUAAGAAACCAUUGUGUAUAUGAAUUUUGUCAUGAGGACCUAGUGGUCAGCACUCUUGCACAUUACAGAACAAGGAAAAUAUAGUAUUUAUAAACUCUUCAGCAGUCCCUAUUAGGGAGCCCAAAUUCAAUUCACCUAAACGGAAAAAGUGCAAAUAUAACAAAGGAUUAGAUCAGUUAUCAAGCUAAAUGAAUCCUAAAGCAUAUUGCCUUCUAAACUAAUUUUAUUCAAUACAUAGCUUUAAGAUUACUAUGUAGAUGGACUUUAUUUUUUUCAAUUAGCUUUGUGCCACUCGGGAAUACAAAAAAUGUUUCAGAUAUCUUUUUUAAUCCAUUGUUUGCUCCCAAAUAUAUAUAAACUUCUUUCAAUUUUAAGCUAUAAUUCUGUUGCACACUGUGAAUAUAAAGUCAGCUGAAUCAUAAUGGCUUGUUCAUCCAGCUUCUGUGAACAGGUAGACAUUCACUGGAAUCUUUCCAAGCCCUUGGAAAUGGAAAUUUUUAGCUAUUGGUUAAGGCAACACUCUUUGCAUUUGAAGCAGUGAAUACGAUGUUAAUGCUUAAGCUAUCUUAAUUUUCCAAAUGCUAAUGGCAUAGUUGAAAGUGUUAAUAAUAUGACUAUAUCAGAUCUUGAUUUUAGGGGGGCUUAAUUUAUCCUAUCCUUGAGCAAACCAUCUGGCAUUGCUAAGCCCAAAGUUGCCUGGGCCUGUGUAACACUGGGUGGGUUUUAAUUCUUUUGUCUUGCCUAGUAAAUCAUUCAAUAUGGUUAGUUUUUGAAUGCCAGCUUGUUUUCAAAACUGAAAUAUUAAGAGCUGAUGAUAUAAACCAAAAUUGAAACUAGAAGAAAUUUCUCCUUCCUUAUUUUACACAGAAGUGGGCUGGAGCUGCUGCAAUCAUGGGGAUGUUUGAUAUUGCAACAAAGGAAGCAAAACAGAGCUAAAUGAAUCCUGUGCAAUGAGGAGGCAUUUUCAGGUAGUGGCCAGAAACUAGAAACUGCUCUUUUCUGGUUAAAAACAUCUGUGACCCAUAAAACCUUCUCACUGCUUACUAAAUAGCACAGUUCUGAGAUACAAACCAGCAAAUUUACAAAUCACAAUGCUUUUCCUGCUGAAUCAAUAGCUGUAGCAAAUAUAUAUAUGUAAAAUGCAAUGGAAAAAUGAAGACCUCUUUAGAAGCCUGCAGAAAAUUUAUUCUAGAUAUGAAAGUUUGAGCAAUCACGUAAAAGCCCUAGUCCCUUAACAUUGCUUUUAAGGUCAUCAGUGUCCUGGACGUUGGUGACUUCCCUGCACCCAUUUCUUCACUCCCUACCUUGAACUUCAUGUUUAACUCUUAUUUCUUCCAGUACUUAGUGAACACUGUCUUCUCUCUAAGCCUUUUCCUGGAGGAACAUUCUCUUGUCUGACUUCCUUAGUCUGAGUUAAGUGGUCUCCUAUGUCUCCUCUAAUAAACUUAUUUUACCCUGUCAUUAUUCUUAGCACACUUAUUUAAUUCCCUGUUUACUAGCUUAUCCUGCUUCUAGGCUACAAGCUCUGGCAUAUCUGUUCUGUUCACCAUUGUAUCCUGAAUGCCUGGCACUUAGAAAGCCUUCAAUAAAUACUUGUUGAAUGGCGUUCAUUGCAGAAGCACUAAAGAAUUUUUGCAUGUUUUUACAUUAAGAAAAAUCUUAGUAGCAGGAUCAGAUCUCAGUCAUAUAGUACACUCAGUUGUGCAAACAUGAUUCCGGUAUUUAUAUUCUUUAAAUAAACUGAAUUUUAAUUCCAAACUACUAUUUCACUAGGAUGUCAAGAAAUUUCAUCUCAGUCAUUUAGGGGCCAGAUCCUUCCCUGGGAUCUCACAGAACCAGGGAGGUUUAUAUGAGAUCCACGAAAUGGCUGAAAGGGCUCCACUGUCCACACAUGAGGAAAGAAGCCCUGUCAAUCUCUGCUCCUAAGCUACACAGGGUUUCAAUAAUCUGAGCUGCUUCUGGGAAGCCCCUGCCCAGAGCCCCAUCUUCCUAGUUAUUCCUGCAAGGAAUUAGCUCUGAAGCCUGGUCACUGCCUCGCCUUCUCCAGUUCACCCUACCUUCAUCAAUUCUGACCUUUUUUUUGAUCUUAGAAAAAUUUUACCUCCUCCACUUCCUUCUCAUUUCUCCCCUGAAUGCACCCUCCCCCUUUCAUUGGCACUUAACCUUUCAAAAUAGGACAGGCCUUAGAAUAACAAAUGCCAGGAAGGCAUCUUGUUCUCAAGCCCCAUAAAUCUCGGGCAAGAAACAUAAAAGGCAUGGAUAAUCAGUUACAAAUAGGAAGUGGAAGGAAAUAUACAGAGAACAAAUAUCCAAAAUAAUUUUUCAACAGAGAAGACAACUACAAAAUCCUGCUACUUCUUGAUUUCCUUAUGUAAAGAUUUGGCCAGAUGGCCCAAGAUGUUAAUAAUGUUAGAUACAGGAUUGGAGAUACUGCAGAUGGGCAAAGAUCACAACCACUUCCCUCAGGCACAAGCUAAAAUGGGUACCAGCUUCUAGAAGCAUUUGGAAAUUAAAUAAAACACACUGUUUUAUUUAAAGUUUACUUUUCCUCUUUUUCUUUCUCUUUCGUAUUUAUAUAUACACACAUAUAUAUCAAUCAUAUGUGUAUGUGUGAUGUUUGCAUACAAUAAACUUACAUAUAUACAUGCAUA
ensembl:lincRNA